AUUCUCUGGAUUACCAGGCAGAGACUCUUGUUCUCUUCCUUUACUUUUUCCCAAAGAAACAGAGUCUCUCUUCCUGUGCUGAGUUGACUGGAGCUAAGGGAGGGGUGAUAUAAGCACUCCUGUGGCCACCACUACUGGGACUGCCCUGGGUCAGACCUGAAGCCAGCAUAGCACUGGGUCUUGCCCAAGGCCCACUGUAACUAUUACGUGGCUACCAUCUAUGUUCGCUCAAGGCUCUAGGGCGCUACAAUCAGCAGGUGGUAAAACCAGCAAGGCUGUGUCCUUUCCUUCAGGGAAUCAAGUUCCCCUGGGCCCUGGGUGAGUCCAGAGACGCUGUCUGGGAGUCAGGGCCUGGAGUUGGAAACUUUAGAAAUCUACCUGGUUUUGUAUUCUACUGUGGCUGACCUGGCACCCGAACCACUGAAGUCCUUCCCACCCUUUCCUGCUCUUCCCCAGGCAAAGGAGUUUCUUCUCAUGUCCAACACCACCACAGGCCCAUGAGGAGUACUGCUGGGAUACUGCCAAUGUUCACUUAAGGCCCAAGGGCUCUUCUGCCAGCAUGUGUUGGAUGCUGCCAGGAAAGUGACUUACCCUUCAGGGCAGUGGGCUCCUCUCUGGCCUAGAAUAGGUCCAGAGAUGCCAUCCAAGAGCCAAGGACUGGAAUCAGGGACCCAAAGAGCUGGCUUGGUGCUCUUUCCCACUGUGGCUAAGCUGGUACCUAAGCUCAAGACGGAGUCCCCUUUAUUCUUCCCUCUGUUCUUCUCAAGCAGAAGUGGUCUCUCCUCGUAGCCACCAGACCUGUGAAUGUGCUGGGUCACAUCUGAAGCCAGUGCAUUUCGGAGUUUCAGCUGAGGCCCACGCAAAAAAAAAGAGCAUGAGGAAUUUGAAGACUGAGAGAUGAGUUGUGUAGCACCAACAUUUUCUUUCUGCCUGACCUUCAUACCUGAUGAAUUAAAAGCAUAGGAUGUUUGGAAGAGUGAGAUAGGGGACACAUUGAAAACAGAGAGGCAAUCUGAAGGCUACCUUGACGCAUCUGCAAAGCUCCCAGAUUCUGACUUUCACAAGACUUGCUUUCUGUUUCUGGGCCUCGCCUAAACAGACUGCCAGUCAUCCGAACCGUGGCAGGAUGGAGAUGUUUGUGUAAGGUAGACUCAAGUUUGCAAGACUCAAGAAGGAAACCACCAAACUAAUUUUACUUUCACUUAAACCAGAUUGAAACCAAGACUUGAAGAAUUAAAAACUUUGACAUUAACCAUUGAUUCACUCCAAUGAAAUAAUUGUGUUAUAGCCAGAAUCAUGGUGAAAUUGGAACAAGGCUUUUGAUGGGAUUUUUAAUUGAGGGACUUAUAUUAAAUUGGAUAUUUUCUUUAAUGAACAGCAUGUGGCCAAAAUUCUAUUUUCAUUAAAGUAUAUUAAGCAUCAUGACAACUCAUAUUAAACCUGCAACAAAUGAUUAAUGACAUUUAGAGACUUCAAAUGUCAUGAGACACCUUAAAUAUUAAGAAUCAAAAAGAACACCUCAAAGUUGUUUCUAUUCUUAGUAAUUAUGCUUAAAAAAACAUCUUUCCUUGCUUUGAAAGCCAGUUGCUAAAAAUAAAAACUGUUCCAUGAAAAAUCA